rnacentral:rRNA from 1 species
AUAUGUGCUAAGGUAGCAUAAUCAUUUGUCUUUUAAUUGAAGACUAGAACAAAAGAUUAAACAUUUCAAUUUAUAUCUAUAAUAAAUUAUUCCAAUUUUUCUUAAAUGUAAAAAGACAUUUAUUUAAAAGAAAGACGACAAGACCCUAUUGAACUUAACUUUAGUUUAACUGGGGCAGUAAAUUAAUUAUUAUUUUAAUUAAAAUAAUUACUCUACUAUCCAAUAAUAUUGAAUUAUCCAGUUACCAUAGGGAUAACAGCGUAAUUACAUUUUAGAGAUCUUAUCUAAAGUUUAGAUUGCGACCUCGAUGUUGAAUUAAUAGCCUUUUUUAAGAAAAAGUUUAAAUAGGAGGUCUGUUCGACUUUUAAAAAAUUACAUGAUUUGAGUUCAGACCGGUGUAAGCCAGGUCGGUUUCUAUCUUCUUAAUAUCUUUAUAUAGUACGAAAGGACCCAUAAAUAUUAAUUUAUAAUUAAUUGGCAGAAAAAUGCAUUAGAAUUAGAAUCUAAUAAAGCUAAA